rnacentral:sRNA from 1 species
AUUCCAGCUUCUACUUUUGUUGCUAUGCAGGUUGUUGUCGGGAUACCAGAUUUCCUACUCCGAGAGGCCCCGGGUCCCUCUGCCACAACUUCUGUCGCUCUGCCGCCUGCACCGUGACCCGCAGUAUUCACGGGAGCCCUAGAGAGGACACCGGGACACCCAGAAGCCGGGAAAUGGAUUCAGUGGCCUUUGAGGAUGUGGCUGUCAGCUUCACCCAGGAGGAGUGGGCUUUGCUGGAUCCUUCCCAGAAGAAUCUCUACAGGGAUGUGAUGCAGGAAACCUUCAAGAACCUGACCUCUGUAGGUAAGAAUGACAAUAUUACUUCCCAGUGAAUUAGAGAACAAAUGCUUCUAGCUCAUCAAUGCUGUUCAUUGAUUUGGAACAUGGACAAAAAAUACUUUGAUGAAUAAAUCAGGCAUGGCUACCAUGUACCAUGAAUACAGAAUCUAAUGAUUUUUAAAUAAAUUCAUACUAAUUCUGGAUCUGUGUUUUCUCCGGGUCUGUGUUUUAGGAAAAACAUGGAAAGUUCAGAACAUUGAAGAUGAGUACAAAAAUCCCAGGAGAAAUCUAAGGUAAUUUUCUCUCG